CCAAGGUAGCGUAAUCAUUUGUUCUUUAAUUGAGGACUAGUAUGAAUGGCCCCACGAGGACUAUACUGUCUCCUUUUUCUGAUCAAGUGAAACUGAUCUCCUCGUGAGAGAAGCGGGGAUAAACAUAUGACGAGAAGACCCUAUGGAGCUUUAAACAACAGAUACUUGCUAAAUUUAAAUUUUAUUCCUGAAAACUAAACAAAUUAAAGCAUUUUACUCUUAAGUUUUAGGUUGGGGUGACCACGGAGAAAAAAUCAACCUCCACGUUGUAAGAAGCCUCUCGGCUUCUAAGCUAAAAGCCACAGCUUAAAGUAUUAACACCAUUGACCUCCAUUGACCCAAUAAUUUGACCAACGAACCAAGUUACCCUAGGGAUAACAGCGCAAUCUACUUUGAGAGCUCAUAUCGA
rnacentral:rRNA from 1 species